CUGUUGUAUUCAGCAUUUCACUGUGAGGUCUACUACACCUGUUGUAUUCAGCAUUUCACUGUGAGGUCUACUACACCUGUUGUAUUCAGCAUUUCACUGUAAGGUCUACUACACCUGUUGUAUUCAGCAUUUCACUGUAAGAUCUACCUACACCUGUUGUAUUUAGCAUUUCACUGUGAGGUCUACUCCACCUGUUGUAUUCAGCAUUUCACUGUGAGGUCUACUACACCUGUUGUAUUCAGCAUUUCACUGUAAGGUCUACUACACCUGUUGUAUUCAGCAUUUCACUGUAAGGUCUACUACACCUGUUGUAUUCAGCAUUUCACUGUGAGGUCUACUACACCUGUUGUAUUCAGCAUUUCACUGUAAGGUCUACUACACCUGUUGUAUUCAGCAUUUCACUGUAAGGUCUACUACACCUGUUGUAUUCAGCAUUUCACUGUGAGGUCUACUACACCUGUUGUAUUCAGCAUUUCACUGUGAGGUCUACUACACCUGUUGUAUUCAGCAUUUCACUGAGGU